GUCCUGCCGCCCAGCCAGUAUGGUGGAUAUGACCCUCGGCUUGUAACCGAGUGGGUUCGGAUUCGAAUCCCGAGUAAGACA
rnacentral:tRNA from 1 species